GGGCCCGCACAAGCGGUGGAGCAUGUGGUUUAAUUCGAUGAUACGCGAGGAACCUUACCAGGGCUUAAAUGUAAGUUGCAUUAGAUAGAGAUAUCUAUUUCUUCGGACUACUUACAAGGUGCUGCAUGGUUGUCGUCAGCUCGUGCCGUGAGGUGUCAGGUUAAGUCCUAUAACGAGCGCAACCCCUAUCGUUAGUUGCCAUCGAGUCAUGUCGGGAACUCUAACAAGACUGCCGGUGCAAACCGUGAGGAAGGUGGGGAUGACGUCAAAUCAUCACGGCCCUUACGUCCUGGGCUACACACGUGCUACAAUGGCCGGUACAGAGAGCAGCCACUACGCGAGUAGGCGCGAAUCUUCAAAGCCGGUCUCAGUUCGGAUCGGAGUCUGCAACUCGACUGCAUGAAGCUGGAAUC
rnacentral:rRNA from 1 species